ACGCUUGUGUCUCACCCCAGACAAGGACUUCAGCCACACUGGGCCCCGUCCCCGCCUCAGGGCCGCUGGAAACUCCCACUCCAGGAGCGCGCUCAGCCCUGUGUGCGUGGUGUCCCUUUAUUAUCCUGAACUAGAAGACUGCUUCUCAGCAAAAUGGGCCUGCGGUCAGCUUGCCGCUGGUUGCAGCCCUCCCGGCUGACACAUGCCCGUGUGCACUGUAACCCACUCUGCUGCCUGUCCCGCCUGUCCCACUUGCCGAGAAGCCGCUGUCCUUACGUCAGGUAGAGCCUCUUUUCUUACAUUUAAAAAGAAAAGGAGUUGUUCAGUCACUAAGUCACGUCUGACCCCGUGGACUGCAGCAUGCCAGGCUUCCUUGUUCUCCACCGUCUCCCGGAGUUUGUUCAAACUCACGUUGGUUGAGUCAGAACAGAUGACUAAAUACACCCGCUUAGAGUCGUUUUAGCCUGAGAUGGACGCAGCCCCAGUGGGCUCGGCCCUGGGGCUCUGGCCGCCCCUUCGGAGCUGGGCCCGCAUGGCUACGGGGGUGGCGGUAGGCCGGCCGCGGGCCUGGCCCUGGAGCCCAGGUUCCCUGGGGCCGUGUCUGCAGGGCUCCUGUGUUCUCCUGGAAUCCUCACCCCACCCCCCCAGCCUUGCCGGCACUGGGCGCAGGCCUCCAGCAGGAGCUCUACCACUUGGGGGCCCCUCCCCAAGGGUUUCAACGCCCAGACGGCUGUGUCACAGGACCGCACCCAGAUGGACUGUCGCAAGCUGCCACCCUCCCACCCCGCCUCCAAGACCGGCUCUCUUGCAAAGGCCCCUGGAGGCCUGCAUCCUCCCCUCCCCACGAAGUUGCUCACGCUCUGUCUCUCGGGGUGGGGCCCGUGUGUUUCUCCCAGGACCCCCGUGCAUGCUCUCCCAACCCCCGCCUGACUUCUGCACCUUCUCUCCUGCCUCCCCACCUGGCGUCAGCCCAUUUCACAGGCUGCCCUUCGGAGCCACCAGGGUCAAGGACCGCGCUUGCCGCCCUCCAUGGCUUUGAGCCCCAAGGCGAUGGCUCACAGGCAACUGUCCAGGAGACCAUGGAGGCGGGGACCCUCCGCUUACAGUGUCCGAGUGCGGACCGCCCGCUCUAGCUCAUGGUCUGCUGGCUGCAGGCCCAUCCCCUGCCUGGGGGCCGGACGGCAGGCCCGGGUCCGGAGGGUCAUGGCCAGAGAGGGGCCCUCAGGUCCUGGGCUCCCUGCCACCAUGAAGACGGCGCACGCACGUGUGCGAAGGCCCGAGACACACGCCCGAAAGAAACAGGAAACAGGACAGCGUCAUCUUCCGCAGGCGAGCUCAGCCUGUGGCUCCACCGCGCUCCUCGAUUCUGGGCUCUCCCAGCACAGACUCCAGAGGGCAGUGUCCGCAGUCACUGACUGCCCCAGGGGCAGCAUCAGGGUCUUUUCCAAGGAGUCAGAGCUUCCCUGGUGUCCCUUCAACACUGCUUUCCUGGGCUCCCGAGCUGAGGCCUGCUCCUGCCCUCCUGCUGAAGGCCCUGCACACGACGUGAGGCCGGGCCAACCGGAACGACAGAGUCUGGAGCAGAGAAAGUUUCACCACGGGGCUGAGCCAGAGGGCUGGGCGGCUCUUCUCAGGAGACCCAGACUCCCCAUUGGGCUUGAGGAGUCUUAGGGGCAGGAUGUGGGGCAGGGCUGCAAGGUGUGUGCCUUCCUUUGAGGAGGGCGUGGGAGAUGAGGGCAAGUGCCCAGGACCCUGGGCUCAGCCUGCAGUCCGUCCUCGGGGCGGGGGCCUCCGUCCUUACAGCAGCGCCGGGCAUCCGGCUGUGAGUCCUGGGGGCACAGGACUCUGCCCCCGCCCCCAAGGCUGCACCUUUGUUUCCUGGCCGCCCCUCCCUUCCCUGAUUGGCUACUGCUGGAAUCUGCACUUGGGAGGGAAGAGAAGGUCUAGGAGGCUGAAUCCUUUCUCCAGGAGGAAAUGGGGGAACGCAGAAAGGUUUCGUACCCGAGAGGGCCCCACAGGGUCCUGACUGUUUUCACUCCUGGGUUGUCAGCUGGGGGCCUUGCAAUAUGACUGAUUAGCAAGAGGAAAUCGAGCGUUUACCCACGGGGGCACCUCCUGUCCACAGCGGAGGCGCCUAGGCGGAGAGCACCUCAAAGAGGAGCCUGGAGUUCAGGAAGAAGAACCGUCUCCCGCUGGGCGUCCCUGGGGCUCAGACAGCAGAGGGUCCGCCCGGAAUGCCAGAGAUUCGAGUUCGAUCUCUGGGUCGGGAAGAUUCCCUUGGAGGAGGGCAUGGCUACCCACCCCAGUAUUCUUGCCUGGAGACUCCCAUGGACAGAAGAGCCUGGCGGGCUACAGUCCACGGGGUCGCAGAGUCAGACAGGACUGAGUGACUAACACUUUCAGCAUCUUCAGUUAAGGCUGAGAAAGUGUGUGGAGGCCAGUUGCAGGAAGGGGACUCAGAAUGAUUAACAGAUACAGAUACAGUCGUGCAGACUUCAGUCUCCGCUGAUUUGGUAUCAGCCUUCUCUCCUGACUCAGACAGGAGACUCCCUUACAAACAGAGAUUUCCCUUGUGGAUGAAAAAGCAUUUCUGCCAUAUCAGUAAACAAUGUUGCAGACAGCCGGCCCUUGUACCACGGUGGUGAGCCCCCAGGGAGCCUGGAAUGCGGACACUCCCAGGGUGGGGUGAGGGUGUUGCUUUGCUGGGCUAGCUUGCUGAGGACUUGCCGGGAGUGAGUGUCUCAGAUGGCUCUCAGGGAGAGCUCUGAAGAGGCGAGGGAGGAGCUGGGAUCCAUGGGAGCUUUUGCAACAAAGACCAGGUGGUUGGAGCAUGGGAAGAUACUAUUACUUACAGAAAACCAAGCAUCUCAGGGCAAGAUGCUUCUGACCACCAGGCUGAAAGAUCUCAGUCACGACAGCAGCCCCUCGAUGUCCCGCCAUCUGUUGAACUUCCACGACCCUGAAGACGCGCCGUUUCACAGGUGCGCCCCAUGGUCUGAAGAGACGGGGUGGCGGGACCCUAAAUCCCCC
ensembl:lncRNA